rnacentral:rRNA from 1 species
ACGAACGCUGGCGGCAUGCCUAACACAUGCAAGUCGAACGAGACCUUCGGGUCUAGUGGCGCACGGGUGCGUAACGCGUGGGAACCUGCCCUUAGGUUCGGAAUAACUCCCCGAAAGGGGUGCUAAUACCGGAUAAUGUCUUCGGACCAAAGAUUUAUCGCCCUUGGAUGGGCCCGCGUUGGAUUAGCUAGUUGGUAGGGUAAAAGCCUACCAAGGCGACGAUCCAUAGCUGGUCUGAGAGGAUGAUCAGCCACACUGGGACUGAGACACGGCCCAGACUCCUACGGGAGGCAGCAGUGGGGAAUAUUGGACAAUGGGCGAAAGCCUGAUCCAGCAAUGCCGCGUGAGUGAUGAAGGCCUUAGGGUUGUAAAGCUCUUUUACCCGGGAUGAUAAUGACAGUACCGGGAGAAUAAGCUCCGGCUAACUCCGUG